rnacentral:tRNA from 1 species
GGUCCAAUGGUCUAGUUGGUUAGGACGUCGGAUUCUGACAACUGAGAGUUCCGUAAGCCCAGGUUCGAAUCCUGGUUAGACCU